rnacentral:rRNA from 1 species
ACUCCUACGGGAGGCAGCAGUGGGGAGUAUUGCACAAUGGGCGCAAGCCUGAUGCAGCCAUGCCGCGUGUAUGAAGAAGGCCUUCGGGUUGUAAAGUACUUUCAGUCGUGAGGAAGGUUGUAGUGUGAAUAGCACUAUGAUUUGACGUUAGCGACAGAAGAAGCACCGGCUAACUCCGUGCCAGCAGCCGCGGUAAU